CUACGGGGCGCUGCAGUGAGGAAUAUUGCACAAUGGGGGGAACCCUGAUGCAGCAACGCCGCGUGGAGGAUGACGCAUUUCGGUGUGUAAACUCCUUUUAUAUGUCAAGAAAAUGACGGUAGCAUAUGAAUAAGCACCGGCUAACUCCGUGCCAGGCAGCCGCGGUAAUACGGAGGGUGCAAGCGUUACUCGGAAUCACUGGGCGUAAAGGACGCGUAGGCGGGUUGGAAAGUCGGGUGUGAAAUCCUACAGCUUAACUGUAGAACUGCACUUGAAACUUCUAAUCUAGAGUAUGGGAGGGGGAGAUGGAAUUAGUGGUGUAGGGGUAAAAUCCGUAGAUAUCACUAGGAAUACCUAAAGCGAAGGCGAUCUCCUGGAACAUUACUGACGCUAAGGCGUGAAAGCGUGGGGAGCAAACAGGAUUAGAUACCCGCGUAGUC
rnacentral:rRNA from 1 species